rnacentral:rRNA from 1 species
AGCAGCCGCGGUAAUUCCAGCUCCAAUAGCGUAUAUUAAAGUUGUUGCAGUUAAAAAGCUCGUAGUUGAAUUUCGGGGUUCUACCGUUGGUCGGGCUAUUGUCUGUACUGGCGUGUAGAAUUUCUACCUUCUGGGGAACUAUCAUGUUAUUUAUUAGCGUGGUAGGAAACCAGGACCUUUACCUUGAAAAAAUUAGAGUGUUCAAAGCAGGCUUAUGUCUGAAUACAUUAGCAUGGAAUAAUAAAAUAGGACGGUGGUCCUGUUUUGUUGGUUUCUGAAUCACCGUAAUGAUUAAUAGGGAUAGUUGGGGGCAUUAGUAUUCAAUUGUCAGAGGUGAAAUUCUUGGAUUUAU